rnacentral:snoRNA from 12 species
GGAUUUAUGGUGAGCUGUGUUUACUGAGCAUAAUGAAGUGAAGCUCAAAAUGAUUAAUCUGAAGUCC